UAACGCGUGAGUAACCUGCCCUUAGGAAAGGGAUAGCGUCUGGAAACGGACGGUAAUACCAUAUAAAGUAUAUUAACGGCAUCGUAGAUAUACCAAAGCUGAGGCGCCUAAGGAUGGACUCGCGUCUGAUUAGAUAGUUGGUGGGGUAACGGCCUACCAAGUCGACGAUCAGUAGCCGGACUGAGAGGUUGAACGGCCACAUUGGGACUGAGACACGGCCCAGACUCCUACGGGAGGCAGCAGUGGGGAAUAUUGCACAAUGGGCGAAAGCCUGAUGCAGCAACGCCGCGUGAAGGAAGACGGUUUUCGGAUUGUAAACUUCUGUUCUUAGUGAAGAAUAAUGACGGUAACUAAGGAGCAAGCCACGGCUAACUACGUGCCAGCAGCCGCGGUAAUACGUAGGUGGCAAGCGUUGUCCGGAAUUACUGGGUGUAAAGGGAGCGUAGGCGGGAAGCCAAGUCAGCUGUGAAAACUACGGGCUUAACCUGUAGACUGCAGUUGAAACUGGCUUUCUUGAGUGAAGUAGAGGUUGGCGGAAUUCCGAGUGUAGCGGUGAAAUGCGUAGAUAUUCGGAGGAACACCGGUGGCGAAGGCGGCCAACUGGGCUUUAACUGACGCUGAGGCUCGAAAGUGUGGGGAGCAAACAGGAUUAGAUACCCUGGUAGU
rnacentral:rRNA from 1 species